rnacentral:lncRNA from 1 species
AACAGCAGCAGCUUCAGGAGUAUUUGCAUGGCAUGAGGACACCUCCACUCUUUGCCCUCUAGUGUUAAACUCAGGCAUCUUUUCUGUAAUGUGAAAGGAAAGCGUGUUUUCAGCACAGGUGACAUUCUAAAAUUGGGUCUUCCCUGUGAAGAAGAAGAUAGAUGAAGAGAAUGAGGCAAACUUGCUAGCAGUCCUCACAGAGACACUAGACAGUCUCCCUGUGGAUGAAGACGGAUUGCCCUCAUUUGAUGCGCUGACAGAUGGAGACGUGACCACUGACAAUGAGGCUAGUCCUUCCUCCAUGCCUGACGGCACCCCUCCACCCCAGGAGGCAGAAGAGCCGUCUCUAGUAAGAACCCUUCCUACUGUUUAGCAGGAAUUGGAGUUGCCUCUGGCUACCCGCUGCAUGGCUUAAGAAGCUCUUACUGGCACCAGCCAACACUCAGCUAAGUUAUAAUGAAUGCAGUGGUCUCAGUACCCAGAACCAUGCAAAUCACAAUCACAGGAUCAGAACAAACCCUGCAAUUGUUAAGACUGAGAAUUCAUGGAGCAAUAAAGCGAAGAGUAUUUGUCAAC